rnacentral:rRNA from 1 species
UACGAGGGGGGCAAGCGUUGUUCGGAAUUAUUGGGCGUAAAGGGCGCGUAGGCGGUGCGGUAAGUCACCUGUGAAAUCUCCGGGCUUAACUCGGAGCCUGCAGGCGAAACUGCCGUGCUUGAGUGUGGGAGAGGUGCGUGGAAUUCCCGGUGUAGCGGUAAUAUGCGUAGAUAUCGGGAGGAACACCAGUGGCGAAGGCGGCUGUCUGGGGUAUUGCUGACGCUGAGACGCGAAAGCGUGGGGAGCAAACAGG